rnacentral:tRNA from 1 species
CGGGGUGUAGCGUAGUCUGGUAGCGCGCCUGCUUUGGGAGCAGGAUGUCGGGAGUUCGAAUCUCUCCCCCCCGACCA